rnacentral:rRNA from 1 species
UACGUAGGGGGCGAGCGUUGUCCGGAUUCAUUGGGCGUAAAGAGCGUCUAGGCGGCCAGGUAGGUCGGUUGUGAAAACUCUGGGCUCAACCCAGAGCCGCCACCCGAUACUGCUGUGACUCGAGUGCGGUAGGGGAGCGGGGAAUUCCUGGUGUAGCGGUGAAAUGCGCAGAUAUCAGGAGGAACACCAAUGGCGAAGGCAGCUCGCUGGAACGGUACUGACGCUGAGACGCGAAAGCGUGGGGAGCGAACAGG